CAAGGAUAUAAUAUGUGGUAAAUGUGUGGCUAUACAUUUUGCCAUAAAAUUAUCUUUUAGGAUAAAAACAAGAAGAUUUGAGAUUUCCCCGUCAUAUAUUCGGAAAUUUUCAAAAUUGCUCAAAUAUUAUGGCCCCACGGAUUAAAAAAAGAAAAAAAUAUAUAUUUUUUCUCUUUACGAGAAACCCUUUCUUCUUCUUCAUUUAUUUGCCUUCUCCAGAUCUAAACAAUGUUCUUCCCACAUCGUUUAUUUUUUUCUUUUGCAGAUCUGUCCGUCGACCGCCGUCGUUCUCGCCGCAGCUCGCUCGUACACCCAGUUCCAUCGAGAAACCCAUAUUCGUUGUCUUCGUUGUCUCUCUGAUCUGGAAGAUGAAGAAAAAACUAUCUCAAAUGUUGGGAGAUGAAGCUUCCGCCGUUCCACAGGAGAUGAAUAUCGGAGGCAGCAAGGUUGAGAAAUCGAGGAGGGACUACGAAGACGAAGAGGAAACGUAACUUUUUUAAUUUCUUAAUUUUCUUUUAUUGUUAUUUUAUUUUGUGUAAUUAAUUAAUUUUUAAAGAAAAAUUCUUUAUUUUUUUUUUAUUUAAAAUUAUAUGGGAAGGUCACGGAUUAACCACGAAACUUUUUAGUGACUAAUAAAAUACCACGAAAUAUUGUGUGGCUGCGUCGUAA